UUUCCCAUCGGAGCUUGCUCCACCGGGAAAAGAGGAGUGGCGAACGGGUGAGUAACACGUGGGUAACCUGCCCAUCAGAAGGGGAUAACACUUGGAAACAGGUGCUAAUACCGUAUAACAAUCGAAACCGCAUGGUUUCGUUUUGAAAGGCGCUUUACGGUGCCGCUGAUGGAUGGACCCGCGGUGCAUUAGCUAGUUGGUGAGGUAACGGCUCACCAAGGCCACGAUGCAUAGCCGACCUGAGAGGGUGAUCGGCCACAUUGGGACUGAGACACGGCCCAAACUCCUACGGGAGGCAGCAGUAGGGAAUCUUCGGCAAUGGACGAAAGUCUGACCGAGCAACGCCGCGUGAGUGAAGAAGGUUUUCGGAUCGUAAAACUCUGUUGUUAGAGAAGAACAAGGGUGAGAGUAACUGUUCACCCCUUGACGGUAUCUAACCAGAAAGCCACGGCUAACUACGUGCCAGCAGCCGCGGUAAUACGUAGGUGGCAAGCGUUGUCCGGAUUUAUUGGGCGUAAAGCGAGCGCAGGCGGUUUCUUAAGUCUGAUGUGAAAGCCCCCGGCUCAACCGGGGAGGGUCAUUGGAAACUGGGAGACUUGAGUGCAGAAGAGGAGAGUGGAAUUCCAUGUGUAGCGGUGAAAUGCGUAGAUAUAUGGAGGAACACCAGUGGCGAAGGCGGCUCUCUGGUCUGUAACUGACGCUGAGGCUCG
rnacentral:rRNA from 1 species